UACGUAGGGGGCUAGCGUUGUCCGGAAUCAUUGGGCGUAAAGAGCGUGUAGGCGGCUCGGUAAGUCCGCUGUGAAAGUCCAGGGCUCAACCCUGGAAUGCCAGUGGAAACUGUCGAGCUAGAGUCCGGAAGAGGCGAGUGGAAUUCCUGGUGUAGCGGUGAAAUGCGUAGAUACCAUAAAGAACACCGAUUGCGAAGGCAGCUUACUAAGCUGUAACUGACGCUGAGGCACGAAAGCGUGGGGAGCGAACAGG
rnacentral:rRNA from 1 species